rnacentral:rRNA from 1 species
CCUACGGGUGGCAGCAGUGGGGAAUAUUGGACAAUGGGCGAAAGCCUGAUCCAGCCAUGCCGCGUGUGUGAAGAAGGCCUUCGGGUUGUAAAGCACUUUCAGUGGGGAAGAAAGCCUUGGGGCUAAUACCCUCGAGGAAGGACAUCACCCACAGAAGAAGCACCGGCUAACUCCGGGCCAGCAGCCGCGGUAAUACGGAGGGUGCGAGCGUUAAUCGGAAUUACUGGGCGUAAAGCGCGCGUAGGCGGUCUGAUAAGCCGGUUGUGAAAGCCCCGGGCUCAACCUGGGAACGGCAUCCGGAACUGUCAGGCUAGAGUGCAGGAGAGGAAGGUAGAAUUCCCGGUGUAGCGGUGAAAUGCGUAGAGAUCGGGAGGAAUACCAGUGGCGAAGGCGGCCUUCUGGACUGACACUGACGCUGAGGUGCGAAAGCGUGGGUAGCAAACAGGAUUAGAUACCCCGGUAGUC